rnacentral:lncRNA from 1 species
AUUUAUCAUAAUAAUCGAAGCAGAUUUCAUGAAUUUAUUAAAUAGUGCCUAUGUUGUACCUGAGACUGAAGUAAAAAUAUCCAGAAAUUGUAAAUUCAGUGUAGCUCACGGAAAAUGGCUAUACGACAUCUAAUACUGCUGAAAAACUUGGCAUUAGCCAAUCGGUGGUGAUCUGAGUGGAAAAGAUGCAAAAUGUUGUCCCGAAACGGCAAGCCCAAGGUCGGUGAACAUGUAGUCAUCGCUGCUCCCCACUGUACAUUUAAUAUGUGCGAUAUAGCGUGCAGUUCAUGCACUUCAACACUUUAAGGGCAAAGUCUUUUCCCUUAUCAAUAUCGGUCAAACCUGACCCCAACUAUGAAGCAACUGUGGAUGAUUUGUGGUAUCGUUCCAUAUUCAACUGACC